AGGCCGAUGGUGUAGUUGGUUAUCACUUCUGUCUAACAUUUUCGGGCCGAACCGGUCCGCUAUGUGCACAGGCGGUCCUCAGUUCGAACCUGGGUCGGCUCA